UGAGAUAUAGUUUAGUGGUAGAAUAUUUGCUUAGCAUGUACAAGAUUUUGGGUUCAAUCCCAGUAUCUCAG
rnacentral:tRNA from 1 species